GACGGGGGGUCCAAGCGUUGUUCGGAAUCAUUGGGCGUAAAGCGUGUGCAGGUGGUCUUGUAAGUUGGAUGUGAAAGCCCCGGGCUCAACUCGGGAAGUGCAUUCAAAACUACAAAACUUGAGUAAGGAAGAGGGUCGUGGAAUUCCCAGUGUAGAGGUGAAAUUCGUAGAUAUUGGGAAGAACACCGGUGGCGAAGGCGGCUCACUGGCUCAUUACUGACGCUCAGGCGCGAUAGCGUGGGGAUCAAACAGG
rnacentral:rRNA from 1 species